GUGUGUGUCUGGUGUGUGUGUCUGGUGUGUGUGUAGUGGGGCGUGUAGGUUACUAGGUCCUAACCUUUUUUCUGUUAUUUUUAUCGGUCCCCACAUCCUGCUCUCUCUCUCUCUAUCUCUCUGUCUCCACCAUUCAUUCACACUCACCACCCUCCAUAACCACUUUAUCUGCAGUACAUACACACACACAACAAAUGUAAACACAUUCAAACCUUUACACACACACGGAUGCAAAUUCCAUGUCUGCUUCUUCAGUCAAAAACAAACUCAGUCAAAUGGGGUUUUCUGGAUAAGGAGGAAGGAGAGAAGAUGACUACUCUCAGAACAACAGUAGUAGUUUUACUGGGAGCCUCAGUCCUAGGAGCCUCAGUCCUAGGAGCCUCAGUCCAAGGAGCCUCAGUCCCAGGAGCCUCAGUCCUAGGCAGACCGUUGCUGUACGGCCCCUCAACAGCCCUACAGAAGACUGUUGAAGAAUUCCAGUGUGAAGUGCUGCAUUACCCUAAAGAAGAGUCCAUCCUCUACCAGCUAUUCAGGGAAGGUGACCGGUCCAAGACCUUAGGCUUCUACAGCGCUCUGUCUGGUGAGAUGGCCAAUUUCCCUCUGUUCAUCACUGCUUCCUACGAGGGCUACAUGGUGUGUGUAGCCAGCGUCCAGAACAACACAGUAAUACAACCCACCGUCAGUGAAAGACACCACCUCAGAGUAGUCGACCCAGUCAACGGUGCAGAGGUUGUAGUCCAAUCAGGGUCUGUGGAGUUCUACGAAGGGAAGCCACUGUCCCUACGUUGUAACAUCACAAAAGGGAACCACGUCUCCUACCAUUGGCUGGUGGAUGGGAAGCCCCUCCCCCUGUCUCCUUUACACAAUCAGACACAGGAACUCUUCAUCUACAGGAUGGUGCCCCAGGACAACUUUACCAAGGUCUACUCCUCCAGGAGCACUGCCAAGGUCAUCAAGGUCAAAAGUCAGAGAGCUUGUGUCUGAACUGGACCUCCUCUUCCUGGUACUGAAGGAAAGAGACGGGACCUACUUUGCCCUCGUCACGUGUCAAUCACUCAAGGGGACUCCGCCCAUCACCUUCUCCCUCUACAGCAGGUCAGAGUUCAUCAGCACGGAGACGGUUGACGAGCGAUUCGCCACGUUCUCUAUUCCAGUGGUUCUAGAUCUCCACAUGGGCUUUCUACAGUGUCAGGCGGAGAACGGAGACCGGGUGGUGUAUGGUCAGUGGACGGCCAUGCACGUUGUUUCAGUAGGUGGAGCUGUGACAAUGCACUACGACGCCGACGUGGGAGAAAGGCCCACAAUGGAGAAGUUGAGGUUCUACUGUUCCGUGGAGAGGGGAACCUUUCCACAGUACCGCUGGUUCCUCAAUGGAACUGUUCUAGAAGGCCGUGGAGACUUCUACUGGGUGGAGAACCAGCCGAAGCAAUCCAUUUUGUUGUUAUCCGUGGGGAGGAGCAGUGCCGGAACGUACCAUUGUGAUGUGUCCAACAGCUUUGAUGGCACUACGGUGAUCAGCAGUGAGGAGAGGUACAUCGAUAAAGAAGUGUUGAACCACCUCCCUACCGUGGUGGUGGCUGUUGUGUUCGGCUGUUUCCUCUUCCUGGUUACCUUGGUGACCACCUGUUGUUUCAUUGGUCUGCUGUACCGGAAAAGACAGUGUCUUGUUGAAAAGUCUACGCUGGAUCUCAAGUUGGGUCUGGAGAUGCACAACAUAAUGGUGUCUGAUGAUGAAGGGUUCCUGGGUCGCCCGUGCAUUAUGGUGGCCGAGGAUGAUAACGCAGUUGUGUGUGUGUGUGUGUGUGUGUGUGUGUGUGUGUGUGUGUGUGGAAAGAUAAUAAGUACAUACUUCAAGUUCAUUUCGAACAUCCCCACAGAGUGUAACAUAUUCCCAUUUUCUCCCAAUGAAGGAUGAAGAGGAAUACAUGGAGGAUGAGGGAAUGGUAAGAGCAGCCAGAAUCAUUGACUCAGAUCAGGAGGAAGUAGAAUCGACAGACGAGUGGCUGCAGCUACAACAGGAACUGAAGAAGACCUUGGUGGAUGAAAUUCCAGAAAAGAGCUUUUAAAUUCUACAACUAUCUAAAAAGAAGCGCUGCCUACACAUUCCAUCACAAAGCCCUCACCUACAGAGAGAUGAACCUGGAGAAGAGUCCCCUCAGCCAGCUGGUUCUGGGGCUCUGUUCACAAACACAAACAGACCCCACAGAGUCCCAGGACAGCAACACAAUUAGACUCAACCAAGUUAUGACGAAGCAAAAAGAUAAUUAUUUGACGUACUGGAAAUAAUCACCCCAAAAAACAGAGCAAAUUAGAAUGCUAUCUGGCUCUAAACAGAGAGUACACAGUGGUAGAAUACCUGACCACUGUGACUGACCCAAAAUUAUGUACAGACUCAGUGAGCAUAGCCUUGCUAUUGAGAAAGGCCGCUGUAGGCAGACCUGGCUCUCAAGAGAAGACGGGCUAUGUGAACACUGCCCACAAAAUGAUUUGGAAACUGAGCUGCACUUCCUAACCUCCUGCCAAGUGUAUGACCAUGUUAGAGACACAUAUUUCCCUCAGAUUACACAGAUCCACAAAGAAUUUGAAAACAAUUUAAACAUUGAUGAACUCCCAUAUCUUCUAGGUGAAGAUAUGUGCCAUCACAGCAGCAAGAUGUGUGGCCUGUUGCCAUUAGAAAAGGGCAACCAGUGCAGCACAAACAAAAUUGUAAAUACUACCAAUACUUAUGUUUAUUUAUCUUCCCCUACUAUUCGUACUACAACUAUUUGCACGUUGCUAAAACAUUGUACAUAGAUGAUAAUAUAACACUUGAAAUGUCAUUUUCAAACCUUUGUCACUGCAAUGUUUACUGUUAAUAGUUUUUUGUCUCCUCG